rnacentral:rRNA from 1 species
CUUCGGGUCGUAAAGCCCUGUCGGGAGGAAAGAAAUGCGGGCAGGUCAACACCCUGUCUGCUUGACGGUACCUCCAAAGGAAGCACCGGCUAACUCUGUGCCAGCAGCCGCGGUAAUACAGAGGGUGCAAGCGUUGUUCGGAAUUACUGGGCGUAAAGGGCGUGCAGGCGGCAUGUCAAGUCAGGUGUGAAAGCCCACGGNUCACCGUGGAAGCGCAUUUGAAACUGGCAGGCUUGAGUACCAGAGGGGAAAGUGGAAUUCCCGGUGUAGAGGUGAAAUUCGUAGAUAUCGGGAGGAAUACCGGUGGCGAAGCGACUUUCUGGCUGGAUACUGACGCUGAGACGCGAAACGCGGGGAGCAAACAGGAUUAGAUACCCUGGUAAUCCGCGCCGUAAACGAUGU